AAAGAAGAUGGCAUAGAAGAAGUGAGGGAGAGAGCAAACGUCUGACUCUGGGGUGCUUAUCUGUGUGGAAGAGACCGGUUCUUCCUGACUGGCUUCAUGUCCCUCAAGAUCCCAAGAAGGCUAUGGCCAUUUCAAAGCCAGAGAAUAGGGGCAGAGAAUAGGGGCAGAGACUCAGCAGCCUGCUCCUGGGUGCAAAGAGACAAGGCCAGGUGCAGCCUAUGCUCACAACCCUGGAAGCUUGGUGGUGGUGGAGGUGUUCUCCUAGCUGCUCAAGUAUUUACCCGUCUGUGUGUGACUCAUAUCCAGGAACCCAAGCGGCUUUCCUCAAUAGAUUGCUCCUUCAGAAGAUGAGCCUCCCCU
rnacentral:lncRNA from 1 species